rnacentral:rRNA from 1 species
GACGAACGCUGGCGGCGUGCUUAACACAUGCAAGUCGAACGGAAAGGCCCUGCUUUUGUGGGGUUCUCGAGUGGCGAACGGGUGUGUAACACGUGAGUAUCCUGCCCUUGACUUUGUGAUAACUUCAGGAAACUGGGGCUAAUACCGGAUAGGAGCUCCUGCUGCAUGGUGGUGGUUGGAAAGUUUCGGCGGUUGUGGAUGGACUCGCGGCUUAUCAGCUUGUUGGUGGGGUAGUGGCUUACCAAGGCUUUGACGGAUAGCCGGCCUGAGAGGGUGAACGGGGACAAGGGGACUGAGAGACGGACCAGACGGGUACGGGAGGCAGCAGUGGGGAAUAUGACACAGUGGGCGGAAGCCUGAGGCAGAAACGCCGGGUGCGGGAAGAAGUCCUUCGGGGGGUAAACAGCUGUCGCCUGUGACGAAGCGUGAGUGACGGUAAUGGGUAAAGAAGCACCGGCUAACUACGUG